rnacentral:rRNA from 1 species
AUACGGAAGGUCCGGGCGUUAUCCGGAUUUAUUGGGUUUAAAGGGAGCGCAGGCCGUAGGCUAAGCGUGCCGUGAAAUACCGUCGCUCAACGGCGGCCGUGCGGCGCGAACUGGUCUACUUGAGUACGCGGGACGUUGGCGGAAUUCGUGGUGUAGCGGUGAAAUGCUUAGAUAUCACGAAGAACUCCGAUUGCGAAGGCAGCUGACGGUAGCGCAACUGACGCUGAGGCUCGAAAGCGCGGGUAUCGAACAGGAUUAGAUACCCUGGUAGUCCGCGCGGUAAACGAUGGAUGCCCGCUGUUCGCCUUUGGGGUGAGCGGCCAAGCGAAAGCGUUAAGCAUCCCACCUGGGGAGUACGCCGGCAACGGUGAAACUCAAAGGAAUUGACGGGGGCCCGCACAAGCGGAGGAACAUGUGGUUUAAUUCGAUGAUACGCGAGGAACCUUACCCGGGCUUGAAUUGCAGAAGACGGAUCCAGAGAUGGUGACUCCCUUCGGGGCUUCUGUGAAGGUGCUGCAUGGUUGUCGUCAGCUCGUGCCGUGAGGUGUCGGCUUAAGUGCCAUAACGAGCGCAACCCCUCUCCGUAGUUGCCAUCGGUUGAAGCCGGGCACUCUGCGGACACUGCCACCGUAAGGUGCGAGGAAGGUGGGGAUGACGUCAAAUCAGCACGGCCCUUACGUCCGGGGCUACACACGUGUUACAAUGGGGCAUACAGAGCGCCGGCGGCCGGCAACGUCCGUCCAAUCGCGAAAGUGUCCCCCAGUUCGGACUGGGGUCUGCAACCCGGCCCCACGAAGCUGGAUUCGCUAGUAAUCGCGCAUCAGCCAUGGCGCGGUGAAUACGUUCCCGGGCCUUGUACACACCGCCCGUCAAGCCAUGAAAGCCGGGGGCGCCUGAAGUCCGUGACCGCGAGGGUCGGCCUAGGGCGAAACUGGUAAUUGGGGCU